CAGGGAAUAUUAGUAAUGGGCGAAAGCCUGAACUAGCAACGCCGCGUGUGCGAAGAAGGCCUUCGGGUUGUAAAGCACUUUUUGAGAGGAUGAGGAAGGACGGUACUCUCAGAAUAAGUCUCGGCUAACUACGUGCCAGCAGCCGCGGUAACACGUAGGAGGCGAACGUUAUCCGGAUUUACUGGGCGUAAAGCGCGUGUAGGUGGUUUGGUAAGUAGGGCGUGAAAUCUCCUGGCUCAACUGGGAGGGGACGUUCAAUACUGUCAAGCUAGAGGACGGCAGAGGGAGGUGGAAUUCCCGGUGUAGUGGUGAAAUGCGUAGAUAUCGGGAGGAACACCAGUGGCGAAAGCGGCCUUCUGGGCCGAUCCUGACGCUCAGACGCGAAAGCUAGGGGAGCGAACGG
rnacentral:rRNA from 1 species